AGCACCAGUAAACUGGCUGAUGUCAUCUCUCUGGUAGCCACAUGUCUGCCUCCCAGCUCCUGGGAUUUUGCCCAUCCUCACCUCAAAAUUGCACAAGACGCGUCUGUAGCUGGUUUGUUCAGUUUCUCACAGCCUGGUACCAAUGAAGCGAAGAGAUGAGGCCAAAGAUGAGCUCAAACCAUCUCUGGGCACCACAGAAAGAAGGACAAAGAAAGAGGUGAUCAGUUCCUGCUGAGAGAAUCCCGCAGAUACCCCCCUCCCUUACUGGAACCAAAUUAUAACACCUUCAGGGCACAAGACUUGGAACACAGCCAUGCACAGAAGGAGUGAUCAACAAAUGCAGAAGUUGGACAUGUUAGCAAACAUUUACGGUUUCUGGAAAUUGCAACUUCCAAGGACAGUUUUCCACAUGAUGGGAAAUCAAA